GACGAACGCUGGCGGCGUGCUUAACACAUGCAAGUCGAACGGAAAGGCCCUGCUUUUGUGGGGUGCUCGAGUGGCGAACGGGUGAGUAACACGUGAGUAACCUGCCCUUGACUUUGGGAUAACUUCAGGAAACUGGGGCUAAUACCGGAUAGGAGCUCCUGCUGCAUGGUGGGGGUUGGAAAGUUUCGGCGGUUGGGGAUGGACUCGCGGCUUAUCAGCUUGUUGGUGGGGUAGUGGCUUACCAAGGCUUUGACGGGUAGCCGGCCUGAGAGGGUGACCGGCCACAUUGGUACUGAGAUACGGCCCAGAAUCCUACGGGAGGCAGCAGUGGGGAAUAUUGCACAAUGGGCGGAAGCCUGAUGCAGCAACGCCGCGUGCGGGAUGACGGCCUUCGGGUUGUAAACCGCUUUCGCCUGUGACGAAGCGAGAGUGACGGUAACGGGUAAAGAAGCACCGGCUAACUACGUG
rnacentral:rRNA from 1 species